rnacentral:rRNA from 1 species
UACGUAGGGUGCGAGCGUUAAUCGGAAUUACUGGGCGUAAAGGGCGCGUAGGCGGCGUUCCAAGUUAGGCGUGAAAGUCCUGGGCUCAACCUGGGAACUGCGCUUAAGACUGGAAUGCUAGAGGAUGGAAGAGGGUUGUGGAAUUCCCAGUGUAGAGGUGAAAUUCGUAGAUAUCAGGUGGAACAUCCAGUGGCGAAGGCGGCUUCUGGACGGUAACUGACGCUGAGACGCGAAAGCGUGGGGAGCAAACAGG